rnacentral:rRNA from 1 species
AUUGAACGCUGGCGGCAUGCCUAACACAUGCAAGUCGAACGGUAACAGGCCCUUCGGGUGCUGACGAGUGGCGGAUGGGUGAGUAAUACUUAGGAAUCUACCCUGUAGUGGGGGACAACCCGGGGAAACUCGGGCUAAUACCGCAUACGCUCUACGGAGGAAAGCGGGGGACCGCAAGGCCUCGCGCUAUUGGAUGAGCCUAAGCCCGAUUAGCUAGUUGGUGGGGUAAUAGCCUACCAAGGCAAUGAUCGGUAGCUGGUCUGAGAGGACGACCAGCCACACUGGGACUGAGACACGGCCCAGACUCCUACGGGAGGCAGCAGUGGGAAUCUUGCGCAA